UACGUAGGUGGCAAGCGUUGUCCGGAUUUACUGGGCGUAAAGAGCGCGCAGGCGGUCGAAUAAGUCGAAUGUGAAAGCCCCCGGCUCAACUGGGGAGGGUCAUUCGAUACUGUUCGACUUGAAGGCAGGAGAGGGAAGCAGAAUUCCCGGUGUAGUGGUGAAAUGCGUAGAUAUCGGGAGGAAUACCAGUGGCGAAGGCGGCUUCCUGGCCUGUUCUUGACGCUGAGGCGCGAAAGCUGGGGGAGCAAACGGGG
rnacentral:rRNA from 1 species